ACCAGCAAGUCGACGAUUCCUACGGGAGGCAGCAGUGGGGAAUAUUGCGCAAUGGCCGCAAGGCUGACGCAGCGACGCCGUGUGUGGGAUGAAGGCCUUCGGGUUGUAAACCACUGUCAGGGGGGACGAAUACCCGGCCUCGAAUAGGGGACCGGGGGUGACGGUACCCCCAGAGGAAGCACCGGCUAACUACGUGCCAGCAGCCGCGGUAAUACGUAGGGAGCGAGCGUUAUCCGGAAUUAUUGGGCGUAAAGAGUGCGUAGGCGGUUUAUUAAGUCAAAUGUGAAAGCCCACAGCUUAACUGUGGAGGGUCAUUUGAAACUGGUAAACUUGAGUACGGUAGAGGCAAGUGGAAUUUCUUGUGUAGCGGUAAAAUGCGUAGAUAUAAGAAGGAACACCAGUGGCGAAGGCGGUUCUCUGGGCCUGUAUUGACGCUGAGGAGCGAAAGCGUGGGGAGCAAACAGGAUUAGAUACCCUGGUAGUCCACGCCGUAAACGUUGGGUACUAGGUGUGGCGAUCCGUCUAACGAUUGCCGUGCCGAAGCUAACGCAUUAAGUACCCCGCCUGGGGAGUACGGCCGCAAGGCUAAAACUCAAAGGAAUUGACGG
rnacentral:rRNA from 1 species